AUAAAGUGGAUUAGCGGCGGACGGGUGAGUAACACGUGAGUAACCUGCCUUAGACAUUGGGAUAGCCUCGGGAAACCGGGAUUAAUACCAAAUAAAAUCAUAAUGACACAUGUCAUAACGAUCAAAACUCCGGUGGUCUAAGACGGACUCGCGUCCCAUUAGCUAGUUGGUAGAGUAAAAGCCUACCAAGGCGACGAUGGGUAGCCGGCCUGAGAGGGUGAACGGCCACAUUGGAACUGAGAAACGGUCCAA
rnacentral:rRNA from 1 species